UUCCAAAAGACCAUGGAGAUGUCUGGCUGCUAUAGAUACCCCAGAAAGUCACUCACCAAACAAAUUCGGAAAAAUUGGAAAAAUUAACAUUGCAUUGGGCAUUCUGGGAAACCAGGGCCAAGAAGUUUAGGCUCUCGCUGACAGUUAUAUUCAUUCUGGAGCCACAAAGUCCUCCUGUUUAAUUAAGUGCUGAGAGUUGGGGACUCGCUUAAUGACUGGAUUGCCUCUUGUUCCCAGCACAAAAAAGUGGACCAACAUCUGCAUGGUCUUCUCCAGGUAGGAGAGAGCAGAUGGUUUAAGCCUUUGCCAGGAGGCCUCAUUCACACGCUGGAUUUUAAGGCAUCGUGGUGCUUGUGAGGUGCUUGGUGAGUCUCAGUCAAAUGCUUCUUUGUAAGGCGUGGUAUGAAGGGGUCACUUAGAAGGUGAGCAAGACAUUAAAUGCUCCAUUUCCUCACUGUGAGGUAACACUCUGCAGUCAAACCAGGAGGAGGGAUUUAUUUCAUUUGCUCCUGAAGUUAAAUCUCAUGAAAUCAUGUGAAAUUCAGUGAUGUGUUACUGGGAACAAAAAGGGUUAUGGAGUCCCUGAGGACUAGUUCGGGGACACUGAAAAUAGAGAAAUGGAUGCAAGAGGUACUGCAAUGAAAAACCAAUGCUGAUUAAGAACAACUGAAGAAGCUGCAACUUAGUGGAAAAGACACCAAAUUGUAAGCAGGUUACGUUAUUAAUUGUGAUGCCUUCCCACAAGAGCUGUGUCUGUACUGUGCCACAUAACCCCUGAAGCUGAAUAAAGAACUUUCUCCUUGAUUCCCCCAGCCCUCCAAAAACAUCAGGUGAUGAGGUCCCAUUGUAAAUGACCCAAGGACAAACAGCUCAUGACUUCAAAGGAGGCCUCUUCAACCCAGGGCAAAUUCAGGCCUUCAUUCCAGGGGUCUGUAAGCAAGUACUGAGUGAAGAGAUAUCCUAAAAUCAAUCGGUAAAUUGCAUGUUUGAAGUAAACUAAAAACCAAAUUUCAGGGUUGAUGCUGGCUUUGGAGGAGAUGGGAAAAUCAUUUGUUUGGAGACAAGAAGCAUGUUAUGCCGGUAGAUGUGUGCACAUAUGCUUCUAUAAGUGGGUACAUGCAUUCCCACUUUUCCUGCCAAGUCUUUAGAAAACCACUUAAGUAAGAAUGGAGAAAUGUAGCAUUGUAGCUUCCCUACAGUUUGUGUUCAUUUUGUUUAUUGCAGUUCCUCUUUGCCAACCCUGGAUAAUGGCAACAACUUCUUUAGUGGCAUGCUGCAUGCUCUGUUUGGUCAUGUCCAGAGAUACCCAAGAUAAAGAAGUUUGAUAAAUAUACACAUUAACUCAGCAAAAAUAACAUGGUUAUUUUCAUGAAUAUUGCACUUGGGCACAUCAGCAAAAUUCAAAAGUGAUAAAAGGUGAGCAUUGUAUAUGAAUUUUGCAUAUGUACAUGGUAAUAUUUUGACACUAGGAACAAUAUUUUAAGUUGAAAUGUCUAUAUUUUAAUUUAGUAAAGAUUUGGCAAGCCCCUGCUAUAUUAGCAAUAUCAAGAUAAUGAGAUAAAGAUCCCACUCUCAAUAAAAAUAUAAAAUUAUACAUGUUUCUUGUGCCCAUCAUCAGCCAUCGUUAUGAACAUCACUCUGAACUGUUAUGCACAAUAAGAUAACUAGAGGGUUAAAAAUGAAGGUUUUACUGCUCACGUUGAAUAUUAUUUUUAGAAAAGAAAGUCAUUUCUAUUAUAGAGGAGGCAUUGUGGUCUACUAUAAUGGCAAGCAUAUUAAAAACAAUGCAUUCCUGGUGAAAUAAUGCUUAGAGCAUAGUCAACAAAAUAAGCAGGCUGCUGAAAAAAGUUUAAAUGUCAUAUUUCAUUAAUUCUAAGACACAUUUCCUCCUGCUUUUAGAUCUCUCAAAUUGAAAGGCAUCUUACAACCUAUAGAUGAAAUCUAGUAAAUAGAAUAAGAUAAAAAGUAUCUUAGUUUCUUUCCUUGGGUUGUUUGCCUUUCUUUUAAGGGAAGGUUUGUUUGACUGUUGUGUUUUGUUUUUAACAGCUUGUUUAUGAAUCUUCCCUUUUCUAGCGUUAAUGAUUGUGUGAGCCUAGAAUUUAAAUGGUACAAAACUCUGAUUUUUGUUUUUAUUCUUUGUUCUGACCAUUACUGAGGGGAGUACAGGACACUGAAGCAGAAACAAGGUCUGAAAGUGGCAAUGUGGACCUUGCUCCUCUGUGGAGGACUCUGGUACCUGUCUGUGUCUGAAUCUUGCCACUUCCACUUAUCUAGCUUUGCGAUCUGGAAAAGAUUAACUUUAGCCUCUCUGUGCCUCAGUUUCUUCAAGUGCUGAAUAAUGGUAUCUACCUCAUAGUGCUGCUAUGAGGGUUGAGUUUAAUAUAAGUAAGGCCUUAGAAUAAUGCCUGGCACAUACUAAAUAUUCUCUCAACUUUAGCUGUUACCAUUGUGCCUCACUUCC
rnacentral:lncRNA from 1 species